rnacentral:RNase_P_RNA from 1 species
GGAUCCGUGACGGCGGUCGCGCCGGAAACGGUGAGGAAAGUCCGGACUCCACAGAGCAGGAAGUCCUCCUCACGGAGGAUACCGCAGAGAAAGUCUGCGGGAAGGAAAGCGCAACAGAAAGCAUACCGCCGGGAGCGAUCCCGGUAAGGGUGAAACGGCGGUGUAAGAGACCACCGGGCAUUGGAGUGAUCCGUGCCGCACGGCAAGCCCCUUCCGGAGCAAGACCAAAUAGGGAAUGAUGUUGCUGCUCGUAACGUUUGAAUUCCGGGUACUGGUCGCGUAGAAAGAUGAUCGCCUGAUACAGAAUCCGGCUUAUGUCACGGAUCCCCGC